rnacentral:rRNA from 1 species
ACUCAAAGAUUAAGCCAUGCAUGUCUAAGUAUAAGCAACUAUACGGUGUAAACUGCGAAUGGCUCAUUAAAUCAGUUAUCGUUUAUUUGAUAGUACCUUACUACAUGGAUAACCGUGGUAAUUCUAGAGCUAAUACAUGCUAAAAACCUCGACUUCGGAAGGGGUGUAUUUAUUAGAUAAAAAACCAAUGCCCUUCGGGGCUCCUUGGUGAAUCAUAAUAACUUAACGAAUCGCAUGGCCUUGCGCCGGCGAUGGUUCAUUCAAAUUUCUGCCCUAUCAACUUUCGAUGGUAGGAUAGUGGCCUACCAUGGUAUCAACGGGUAACGGGGAAUUAGGGUUCGACUCCGGAGAGGGAGCCUGAGAAACGGCUACCACAUCCAAGGAAGGCAGCAGGCGCGCAAAUUACCCAAUCCCGACACGGGGAGGUAGUGACAAUAAAUACUGAUACAGGGCUCUUUUGGGUCUUGUAAUUGGAAUGAGUACAAUUUAAAUCCCUUAACGAGGAACAAUUGGAGGGCAAGUCUGGUGCCAGCAGCCGCGGUAAUUCCAGCUCCAAUAGCGUAUAUUAAAGUUGUUGCAGUUAAAAAGCUCGUAGUUGAACCUUGGGCCUGGGUGGCCGGUCCCCCUCCCGCGUGUACUGGUCCGGCCGGGCCUUUCCUUCUGGGGAACCUCAUGCCCUUCCUGGGCG